UGCCAAUCACUGCGCAAAGACCUCGCAGUGCAUCCCGGGACCUCCGCUGGGUUCUUUGUCCCUCACGCCCUGGUAGUUCCCGCCCCUGGGCCUGCGGGCUGUGCCUCUGCACUUGAGCGUUUUUCGGGAGGAAGGGCCUGGGGUUUAUUUGACCUGGGCCUCGUGGCAUUUCCCUGGGUCUCCCCAGCCUGUGGGGCCCUGAGUGGGGAUCGGCACUAGCUUUGUUUUCCGCAGACCAGGGGUCCCCAGGCCUGCAGUGUCGACUGGCAACAUGAAAACUGGGCAUGUGGCCCUGCAGACUUCCCAAGUAUUUAGGAUACAAGCCGAGGUUGGAGAGUUACCUUCUGAAGAAUCCCUUUUAAAUAUAUCCGUUCCGGAGAUACCAUCGUGAUUGAGCGGUCCCUGAACCUGUCUAGUAUCCAUGAGGAUGCCGGUUCCAUCCCUGGCCUUGAGGUUCCUAAGGUUCUGGGGUAGCUGUCGUGCUGGUUGCAGAUGUGUCUUGGAUCCAGCAUUGUGUGGCUUGGCUGUGGCAUAG